GAUGAACGCUGGCGGCAUGCCUAAUACAUGCAAGUCGAACGGAGUACUUCGGUACUCAGUGGCGAACGGGUGAGUAACACGUAGGUAACCUGCCCAUGUGCCCGGGAUAACGGUUGGAAACGACUGCUAAAACCGGAUAGGUAGGAGGGAGGCAUCUACCUUCUAUUAAAGGGGCUCCGGCCCUGAACAUGGAUGGACCUGCGGUGCAUUAGCUAGUUGGUGAGGUAACGGCCCACCAAGGCGACGAUGGGUAGGGGUUCUGAGAGGAAGGUCCCCACAUUGGAACUGAGACACGGUCCAAACUCC
rnacentral:rRNA from 1 species